GGUUUUCAAAUCAUUCUCACAAGAUUAAUUUCUUUUGCUUCUCACCAUAUUCAUCCUUUUCAUUUCCUUAUAUAAGGGUUAGAUUGCCAAAGGCUUAAGGAAAUGCAGAAAUAUUUACAAUAAUAAUGUAACCUUUAAAGCUUAUCUAAAAAGGAAGAAAGGGAAGUGACUGCCUUGCAAUUCUAUGAAGAACUGGCAAGAAAAGCAUAACUACUGAAAGAUCUGCACAGAUUUAGUUAUUAACAAGAAUGCAAUAUAUGUGGUCAUUCACUAAGGGAUCAGAUGUUAAAACCACCUCUAAUCUCUAGAUAGGUGAAGCAGAAUUCUAAGGAUUGCAUUUUCCUCACUUCAGACCAAAUUGAGGAACGUUCUGCUUAAGACCACGUGGACAGACACUGAUAAAAUGAAAACAGGAACUCCUGUGGUGUGUGUUACUUGCCAUUGAGUUGGCUUCAACUCCCAGGGACCCUGUGAAUGAAUGAUAUCCACAAUGUCUUGUCCUCAACAGCCCUGCUUAGCUCCUGUGCAAAGCAGCUCAUAUCUAUGGCUGCUUUUGUGGAACCGCUCCAUCUCACAUUUGGUCUUUUCUUGCUGCCUUCUAUUUCUUCCAGAAUUAAUAUCUUUUCCAAAGAACCCUGCCUUCUCUUGACGUUCCCCAAGUAGAACAUUUUCAAUUUUGUCAUUUUUGCCACCAGUGAUGUUUCAUGCUUAAUUUGCUGUAGGACCUGCUUGUCUUUCUGGCCAUUUAAGGCACCUGUAGACCUCUAACACUAUCUUUAAAAUGAAUCAGUUGCUUUUCUCACCAGCCUCCUUCACUGUCCAACUUCUGCAUCUGUACUAGUAAUGGAAACUGUGAAGGUGUGGAUGAUCCUAGGCGUGGUCUCUGAUAGCACAUCUUUGUUCUCAGUGAUCAAUCCCUAAUUCUUCCACUGCUCUUCAGUCUCAGCGUUCUCUUGACUUCUCAGCCGCAGUCUCCAUGUGAAUGACUGAGCCAAGAUAAGCAAAAUCCCUAACAUUUCAAAAUCAUCAUUUUCUCACAUUUCAAGGCUGUAUAUUUCUGUAGUCUUGAUUUUUAUCUUCUUGAUGUUCAAAUGCAGUCCUGUUUUGGCACCUUCUUCUUUCACUUUCGUCAGAAUUUUCAAGUUGUUGCUACUUUCUGCCAGUAACAUGCUGUCAUCUGCAUAUAUUAUUUAUAUUUCUUCCACCAAUUUUCAUGUCUCCUUCCUCUGAGUCUAGCCUAAUAUUUUAUAUAUGUUCUACAUACAGAUUAAACAGAGAGAGAAAAUGCACCCUUCCCUGACACCUUUGCCUGUAGGAAAUUGUUCUGUCUUUCUAUAUCCUGUCCUGACAGUGGCUUCCUGCCCAGUCGAGUGCUGAGGCAUGCCCACUUCUUUCAGUACAAUCCACAGCCUUUCCUGACCCACAGUCGAAGACUUUACUGUCGUCUAUAAAAUGUGCACCUUCUAAAAUUUUCUCAAGCGCUCCUUUUUUCAGCUCUCGUUAAAGAGAAUGAUUCAUUUUGUGUGUGCACUUGCUAUUCUUGACAUUCUGCUUUCUAGUUCCCAAGUUAAAGUUCCAGAAGUGAAAGGAGAUACACUAUCAUUUGCUGUCUAACGCUUUCACUUUAUACGAUCAUGGGCCUUUUUAAAAGGGUAGUGACAUGGCAGUGGGCACCCGUGGCUGCUGGACUUCCACGUGUGGCACACACACGUCCUCCUUGGCGUCGUCCUUGGAUGAUGGGACGUGGGGUGUUGGUGUGGACACGUUUCGGGAGUGCCCAGAACACUUCAGCACAGGCGUUACGAACAUAGUGUGGGCACACACUGGUUUAUUGGGCUUCUUUUCUAAUGGACACUUGACUGCUGCCACGGAAAGGAGAGCCAGGUCGCUAGACCUUCAGAUUUUUUAAAGAGAAAUUGGGAAUUUGAACUUUUGUGAACUAUCCCAGCUUUAAAAUCCUAGCAGCUAAUUCAGCCAUUUCUGAAACACUGAACAAAAUGAGCCUGCCAUCAGCAAGUCUCCCAUGCAUGAGUUAGAAAUGCAGAAGCCUGAUGCUGAUCCCCCCGAACCUUGGGGCUGUCUAGGGGAGGCACAACUAAUUACUGCAUAUAGGAGCACACCUGACAUUCUUUUGAUACACAAAGAAGAAAAAUUAAUGGGAUCGAGAAAAUUUUACUAAGAACCUGAGUAUCAACUCAAUGUUAGUAACACUGAUGAAAAUCUACUUUAGUCAAAAGAGGAAAUCACUAAUUGUCUGGUUAGAUUCUCUAGCCAUUCUUUGGACCUAUUUAAAAGCAGAAGGCUUGUUCCUGUACAGUCCGCAUGGGUUUUCUGCAAUCUCUCACCUUAGGAAGGCUUCCAGGUAAACUGGGCCAAGGAGAAAUGAGCAGGAACAAACUGAAUUUUAUAACUCCGAGCUCACAGUUUGCCAAGGCCUUACAAUCCUGAACCUUUCUGGGGGAAUGAUGUUUAAGGGUGGCUUUCACAAAAUGAAGUGCAGAGGAAAAGAUGCUUGGUAUAUAGACUUGGUCACAGGAUUAGAGGCAAUUCUCUGUGAACAGACCUACUACAAUUCCCAUUUUAGGGAUCAACUUCAGCCUCAACUUUGUUGGUUUGUUUCAUAAAUUACUUCAUUGUUCAAUUAUAUAGCCUCAAUUUUUUGCAAAGGGAAUUCUACAUCUCUACUGCUGUACAGGUGCUGCUAGGCCAGCUUGAGCGGUAACUUGCAGCCCAUUCUUGGCAAGCAUUUGAUUCCAGACAACAUAGUACCAUUAACAGUAUGAACCCAGUUCUCUUAAAUACUAACACUUGUUUCAACAUUUUUAUGUAAAUGAACCAAGCAGCUGACAUUGGAAAAGAUGAUUACUAGGCUUACAUAAAUCCACCACAAAGUUGACCUUGGAGCGGUACAAAGCAUACUGCACUCCAGGAUUCUCACCUCUCUCAUCAGCUUGAGCAGGUCAAGUGCUCUGACCCAGUUUCCACCUCUGUAAAACGAGAGUGCCAGACCAUCUCAACGGCUUACUUCCAGCUUCAGUAUUCUUUGGAGACUGAAUUUUUCAGGUCAGAAAAACCUUCCCAGUCAGGAUAGUGUUGUUUCCCUUUUCUGACUUUCUUUUACCAAUAUACCUGUCUGGCCAGGAUCCCAAAAAGGACGAUCCCUCCAAAAACCAUGACUCCUGGGAGCUGGAAACUAGAGUUGGUGUUUCUUAAUAUCAAUGAUUGGAUUCUGAAUGGGCAAGAAGUUAAACUGAAUCAUGAAAAAGUUUGAAGAUCUCCCCCUCAAAAUGCAGAUGCUUCAAAUUGGCUUUAGCUUCAUUCAUUAGAUAGUCUCAAGAUGGCAGCGUCAUCUUCCUCCCUCAUGUUAUUUCUCCCUAGUUACCAGGAUGAAAAGUAAGGUUUUUCUUUUACAUCUCAGAGGGCUGCUAAUGGCAGCAAUCUUAGUCUGGAAUCUCUGAACAUGUUGUAAGCGAAGCUGAAAAGGUGUUAACUAUAUUUAAUUAAUGUUGGUUCCUAGAAUAGUAGAGUUGAAUUACCAGGUUCGUUCCACUUAAAUGGCUUUUCUCUAAAUCCACCAGGGGUCCAGGUGGAGCACCUAGAACUGUGUCCUGAGCUGCACUGUGGCCACGGGGGCUGUAAUCCUAUAUGCUGCUUGCCCCUUAACAACUACUUCUUAUGAAUGCAUCGCGAAGGUGUUUUUUAAAAUAGCUCCAAAGCAGAAGUCAUAGGAACCAGUAGGGAAGAGAGUAGCAAUUGAGGAUAAAGGGACCACCAAGCUUUCCUACUUUUCCAAAAACACUUGAGUUUAAAGAUUCGAGCAAGUUAUAACCUCUUGCCCUUAAAUGUAAAAAGAAUAAAAUCCCCAUCAGCUUAUUAAAAUGGGAAAAUGUUUGUGACUCAAAACACUAGAAUGUGGUUCUAACCUUGUUCAGAUAGUGAAACAAUUGAAGAACAUGGGGCUUCUCAGAAUCCUACAAAAUAUUUACUAUAUUAAAACUGAAACAUUUUAAGCUAUAUCCCAUAUGGUAUUAGAUUGUACUCUAAAGAAGUAGCAGUAUAUGAAGUUUUUAAAAUGGCAAAUUCCUGCUAAAGCAGGGCUGCUCCCACACCCCUAUAUCCCCAGCUUAGCAGUUAAGGAUGUCUUCCCACUGCAGGACAGGGGCAGGGCAUGGAGGCUAAGGCCAUCAAGCUGCCCCAGGGGAUGAGGAGGUGCUGAGAGAGCUUCAUCUCUCCUGUUGGGCCCUGGGGUGGAUGAUCUGAUCGGGUUGCUCCUUUGCUGUAAAAAACAGGUGGUUCUCACACAAGACCACCUCUCAACUGAGUAAGCCCUGAAGUGUUCAGAACACCGUCCACUGUGAUAUCCUUGGGCAGUAGUGGUAGAAGACCAUGUUGGCAUGAGCCCACAACACAGCUAACAUUCAACCCUGUUUAGGAGAGGAAAGGGAAAUCAAAAGCUUGAGCAAAAAACAGACACUUCAGCCUGGCAAGCUAUAACUCUGAUGGACUGCAUCUCCUUUCACUUCUCCCCAGCCUCACACCCCCCCAGCAUCCACCAGGGAGCUGACCCUCUCCUGGCUUUAGAAGCCUUCCCCACCUUCCCCACCAGACAUGCACAGGGUGUGGGCAGAAAUGGGCAUCUCAGAUCUGGUGCCAGGGGAAGAGCCCAACUGGCUGGAGCUGAACCCACCUGAAGGUACUACAGACACUGGGCCAGUGUCUUUCUCCAGAGUUUGGUCACAAAGGAUGCACUCUUCCCACUUGGAGGAUGUGGGGAGAGUCAUUAGAUUCUCUCCCUUUAUCCAGGCAGCUUGCCCAGCCUCAUCCCCUCAGUGAACCCUUGGUGCCCUCAAAGAAUGUUCAUGUUCCAAUAAACCACUACCAUUUCACAUAUAUACACACAUGAAUGAGAAAAAUGGUUUAAAACCUUAUACAAUCUUAGUGAUAAUGGUCUAUCAUUAGAACACAAUUCAUAUGUGAGAGCAGAGAUCAAAAAAGUGUGCUAUAGAAUCAAGCUGCCUCUACUGAUGUAUAAAUGUUUGAGGCUUUAAUGAUAGUUCUCAUCAAGUGACAUUUCAAAUACAACUUGAAACAAACUCAAUGGACUGACAAAGCCUUUAAUAUAAACAGUCCUUGUUACUACCAGAUCACUUAUUACAAUGGAAAUGUGGGACUUGUGUAGCCAGCCAAGGUCAAUCUCAGCAGAGGUAAGCCUCAAAUAUUUGUAUUAAUCAUUUAUAUUAAUCUGAGGAAAAGGUGAGCUGCUAUAACAAGAAACCAAUCAUGUGGCUUAAACAAUAAAAACAUUGGUUCCUCUUUCAUGCAAUAGUUCAGUAACACUCCAUGUGGUCACACAGGGAUCCAGGCUCCUUCCAUCCUGUUCGCUAUCAGGGCUGGGCUGCUAUUGCUACUACUUUUGGGAAGAGAGAAGAGACAGCAUGAAAGAAGAGUAUCUACUGUCCUACAGGUCCCAGCCCAGAAGUAGCAGCACUUUCACUCAAAUUCCAUAGGAAAGAACUCAGCCUAACUUGGUCACACCUAACUGCAGGGGGAAACGCAGCAAAUACACUCCUAAUAUGGCAGUCAUAUAACUCGGUUUUGAAAGGAGAAAAUAUAUUCUGCUAACUACCUUAAUUACUAGUCCCCUCCCUUUUUUUUACCACUGAACUGGGUAACAUCGGUGUGCUGAAGAAAACUUACAGGAAGGAGGUGAUAAAUGUACUGUGCUUAACCCACAAACCGUGGUCUUGGUGUGGCAAGCAGAACGUGGGGAGCCCCAAGUGCCAGCCUCAGCAGUGCUACAGCAGUAGAGCCACGUGGGGGGCUGGGAGACCACAACACUGAAUACCGUCCACUAUGAAUAUGACCAGACCACUGUCUCCAAAGUUUUUGUCAAAAAAUGGUCAGAGUCUUGGACUUCAGGAUCUCUGGCAGGAAACUCUGAAAUGAGGCUGAAACCACUAUACAGUAUUUUGGCAGUGUAGCAGAGUCCUUUCUUCGGGGGAUCUGGCUCCCCUGUCCUUCAAGAGCUUCUGGGUCUACGACCUGGCUCAGGCCUAGGAAGUGGCUGAGGGUAUAGGAGAAAUCAACAUUUCUGGCAAGAGUAAAUACAAAAGAAAUAUUUUUAAACCUCACUGUUAAGUAGGAGAGCAGAAUAAAGUUGAAGGCAUUCAAAAUCCUUCAUAUUCUGCUCUCAGCCUACCUUUUUUUACAUUUGUCCCUGUAAUCUUCACCAACCAGCUUCAGUCCCUACACUGUCCCCUCCUCCUGAACUUCAAAUACCUCCCUUUCUCUGCUUGAAUAAAUUUUCCUCCAAGACCCAAGGGUCAAAUUUUGCUUCCUUUGUGAAGCCUCAACAAAUUUAAGUAUCUAAAACAUUCCAAAUUAUGCUAGAAACGGGGGGUCACAAAGACAACAUGGUUCCUGAGCCCUCCAGAGGUUACGAUAAAGAUGUAGGAUUUUAACCCUACACUGCUCUGAAACUCAGGCUCAUUAUCACACAAUGAGCACUACGGUGUGCCAGACCUUAUGUUUAACUGCUUUCUCAGGUGUCAAGACUCCAUAAGACACCAAAGGUAAUACUGUCUCAAUUCUCAAACUUUAUCCUGCUGAGCAGUUGAACUGAACACUAAGGAAUAAGUUUGCGGUAGAAAGGAAUAAAAAUUUACAUUUCAGCAGAACACUUCUAGCCUGUUAAAGAGAAAAUAGACAAUAUAAUUAUUUAAACCUGGUUUUAUUUCGCACUUUUAAAAUUCACAAAAAGCUUCACAAUAUAUCUGCUUUCCCCUUUUGAUCAUCAAGGCUUUAUAUAAGACAAUGAAAAUUUUAUCACAUCAGUUGGGAAUAUUCAAAAACAAUGGAUAAUUUACAAACGAAUUUUUUUAAUAAAGAACGUUUUGCAAAAUACACACUCUGGUACACAUCUGAAUUAAUCUAUCCUAAAAUUAGAUUUUAAAGCUUAAAAAAAAACACAGUUUUAACACUGACAAACCUACAAGAAUAUAAUGCUGAUGGCAAGUUAUAAACAGCUUUAAAUGCUGAAUGUAAUUUGGGGGAAGGGGUGAAGAAAAAAUGAUCUUUUGAACCUAUAUUAAAUGUAUCUGUGAGUUAAAGUUCUAUAAU